AGCUUUCUAAAGCAGUAGAGAAAAUUGAUGACAUUUCCCUAUUCUAAAGAGGGAGGGGAUUAAAUAUAUUUCAUGAAAAUGUAUACAAUAAGGGCACGUUUGUUUCGCGUGAAAAAGCAUCUCGGAAAAUAUUUUCAGAUGAAAGGUGAAUAUUUUCGCGUAAAAGGUAAACAUUUUCGCGCAAAAUUGAUGAAUGGCGCCAUGGUAGAGAUGUUGGCCUUUUCCAUUGAUGAAGUUAAAGAGAUGGCUUCCUUGAAAACCAGUUUCAUGUCUUGUCAUGGUUUUGAACUCUAGAGAGAAACCCAAGAACCAUGUUUCUCUGUUUCUCUGACCUUCUAGAGAGAAUGAGAAACUCAUUCACUGUUACUGUCUCUAGAUGAUGUACUUUGUUUCUCUCUACAUGUAGUGAGAGAAAGUGUGCGGGCAGAAGAAAGUGAAGGGAUGGGAUAGUCAUGGUGAAGAAGUUACCUUUUUUAUUGAUGGAGAGAAACGAUGGCCUCCUAGAAAACCACUUCUCAUCAAUUUUCAUGUCUUGUCAUGGUUUCUCCUUUAAAAUCUGGAGAGAGAAACCCGUGAACUCUGUUUCCACAAACCAGUUACACGUCUUCUUAUGGUUUAUCCUUUAAAUUCUAGAGAGAGAAAUCCAGAGCCAAAAAUUUGAGAAAUCCACUCACCGCUUUUGGGAUUGUAACCCUAUUUGAGAGAGAGAGAGAUUUCCCGUUCCGUGUAAUCUGAUUUACUGGCUUCUCCAACUACUAGAGAGAGAAGCCAAUUAACCCAAUUAAUUUUUUUCACUGAUUUCACCUCAUAAUAGGAUCAAAAGAACCCAGUUCAAUAUAACAAGAGAGAAAAUCUCAGCUUCUCUGUAAUUUCAGGGAUACGAGUGGAAUGUUCUCUGAUGAGUUGCUGGGAACUUUUGUGCCCAUAUUGGUUUAUUGGGUUUAUUAUGGGAUUUAUUUUCUAUUGAAUCGAUUUAACAACUAUGCCUGCACUCAAGGAAAGAUGAAGAAAUGAAGAAUUUGGUUUUGAAGGGUACAGUUGUGAAAGGGGUUCUUCACCAGCAAUCUAUCCUGGCUCAUGUGGCAAACGUGUUUUUCGUGAAAUGAUGGAUUGGAAGUGGUCAGUUGUUGAUACCUAUCAAAUUUGAAAAUCAAUCAUAUGUUAUGGGCCACUUGUCAGAAAAGGUAAGAAUUUUGGGGUUCAAUAUGUGAUCAUGCCAAUGGAGUUGCCUAAUUUUGACGGAUCUUUUGAACUUUGUGCAGGAGAAACUUCUUGGUUAUUCAUUGUUUUUAGGUUUUUAGCAAUUAUUUUCUUUCCCUUGUUUCGUGCACUCAAAUGCUCUCUUCCUAUCUACUAAUUCCACUUGCUUUUCUUCUUGUGAUGUCGAUUAUUGGGCACAAUGACUUUGAAGUUUGAACUCUUUUUUUCCCACUAACAAAAACUUUUUGGAGAUAGGGAAAUAGGGUGUCCUUGGUUUUAAUUUAUUCAUGGCAUAAAAUUGGAAGAUUGGGUCUCUUUUAUAUUCAUGGAUCAAACUAGACGUGUAGAACUGGAAAGUGUCAGUGUCCAUCUCUUAUGAAAGUUAACAUGGAUUGACAUUGUUUAUGCCAUUUUGGAGUGGCUUUCCUCUCAUCUCAUGGGUAUCCUUGAUUUGAUUUAGGGCAAAAAUUGGAAGAUUGAGUCUCCAUUAUAUUCAUGGAAUGAAAUACAAAUGUACUACUGGAAAGUGUCAAUGGCCAUCUUUUAUGAAAUUUAGCAUGGACUAACAUUGUUUGUGCCAUCCUAGAGUGCUUCCUUCUCAUCUCAUGUAUUUGUUGGAAUCUUGUUAGUACUUAUAUGGGCUACUUGUCAAUGAAAUGUUUAUGUAGGUGGGAUUAGAUUGAAAUGUAUAUCUUUGCUGCUAAAUAUGUGUGGAUAUAUCUUGGAUGGGCGUUUUUUUCAGUUUUUUAACCACCUGUAUAUAUCUCAUCUUAUAUAUUCACAUGGUGAGGGAUAUAUACGAGGGAGUGCUAACUAGUGUGAGGACAACUACUAGAGAGAAGUGAGUUUUCAUUGACAGUAAGCCUGCAUCAGGACGGAUGUAGGCUUUGGUUUGGUUAUAGAUGGGUUAACUAGGCAUCUACAAGAUGAGGUGUUGUGGUGUAUGUUGUUUGUUGCUGACAUCACUUUGAUUGAUGAGACUAGAGACGGUCAGCACAAAGUUACAACUAUGGAUGGAUGCUCUAGAAUCUAAAGGUUUUAAACUUAGCCAGACUAAGACAUAAUAUAUGAAAUGCAAGUUUAGUAAUAGUAGGAUUAGAAACAAGGUAUCACUUAAGAUUGAUGACUAAGAAAUACCUAGAAGAGAUUAUUUUUUAUAUCUUAGGUCAAUAAUCCAUGAGACUGGAGAGAUUGAGGAAGACGUUGUGCAUAGAAUUAGCUGGGUGGACAAAGUAGUGAUGUGCUUAUAGAGUCUUAUGUGAUCGUCGCAUACCAAUGAAACUGAACGGGAAGUUUUAUAUGAUGCGUGGAAGACCAGCCAUGCUUUAUGGGAUGGAAUGUGGCCAGUGAAGAAACAAGAUAUCCAUAGAAUGAGUGUUAGUUGAGAUAAGGAUAUUGAGAUGGAUGAGUGACAAGACUAGAUAGGAUAGAAUCCAAAAUAAAUGCAUUUGAGAGAACUUAAAGGGUAGCUCCAAUAGGCAAUAAGAUGAUGGAAAAUAGACUUAGGUGGUCCAAGAAUGUGUAGGUUCGGCCUAUAGCAACAUCGGUUAGGAGGGGUGAUUUGGUUCAAGUGGAAGGCUCUAAAAGGGUAAGAGAAAGGCCCAAAAGGACAUAGAUACAAGUAGUGAGAAGAGAUAUGGUGACUUAUAGUUUGAUUGAGGGUAUGGGCCUUGAUGGAGCGUAUGGCAGAACAAGAUUCAUUUAGCUGACCCCAAUUAGUUGGGAUAAGGCUCAGAUGAUGGUGUAUCCUAUUGCGGGGAUAGUUUGAGUUUUGGCGCAUGUGCGGUCAUGGUUGUGGGGAUUUGGGUGCAAAUUGGAGGGUGAGUGUAGUACAUCAAUCAUUCUUGUUUCCUAUUUCUUUUUCCUUCUCCACCUAAAAACUAUUUUACAAGUGGAGAAAUGUGCUGGAAAAUGAGACUGGAAUUUCCACCAGUAACAUCUAGCUCCCACACAAGCUACAAACAUGGUCUCUCUUUCCAUGUAAGUUGGUCUCACCUUGGGUUUGGAAUGACCGAAUGAGUUGAGCAAUCUCUUGUAGCAGGCGGACUGUCCUUUUUUUCUCUCUUAUGUAUCCAGUAAGCCACGAAGAUUAUUAAUCGAAAAGUGACAGCAAGACCCAUAUGCAAUGACGAAAUCACCUUCCAUGCUCCUCAAAAUAUCACACGGCCGACAGAAUGUGACAUAUGAUUACAGCAUGACCCUCUAGACAAAUAAUAACCUUGAAUUUGCGAAGGCCUGAUCUUAAACCCUUCCCAUUCUAAUCCACUGCAAGCGACCAAGGAUAUUUUAGUCAGGAUUGACAUAUUGAUGAUUGGAACCUACCAACUAUAUGGAUGGAUCUUUUGCUAGUGAGAGACAUAAUUUUUCAAACUUGACUUGUGCUGAGACUAUGAAAGAAAAUCUUAACUUGUGAAAAUCAAACAGCCAUAAUACCCUAUAAGCAUUUGUAGUUCCUUGUAGCCGGAGCAAUUUUGAUAUGCUAUUAGCAAGGCAGACAAAAGUUCUAGCAGGUGGAUUCGGUUAUUUGCACGUGAAUGAGGUGUUGCAUGAUGCAAGUUGAAGGAGAAAUUGGAAUCUCACCAAGUUCGAUGCUCCACCCUGUCCUCAGAUUAAUGGAGCUCUCUCCAAGUGAUGCAAGGCCUACCUAAGAAGGACAGUUAUGUAGACAAUGCAGGAUGCACCAUGCCUGUUGAUAGGGUAAAUCUAAAAUUAUGCACUGGAAUUUUCUCUAGGUUGGAUAAUAUGGUUGGGUUGUUUUGCAAUGUUGGCUUUAGGAAGAAUGGGGCAUUGUUACCGGAUUGAAUGAACCUUAUGUUUUAUGAAAGAACAAAUUAAUAAUACUGAAUACUGGAGUUGUAUUUUUUACAUUAAAAAGGGUUCCGUCAUC